rnacentral:rRNA from 1 species
GUAGUCUCGCACAGAUGCAUAUCAAUAAGCGGAGGAAAAGAAACUAACAAGGAUUCCCCUAGUAACGGCGAGUGAAGCGGGAAGAGCUCAAAUUUGAAAUCUUAAAGGGUUUCCCUUUACGAAUUGUAGUUUAAAGAAGUGUUUUCUGUUGAGGUUUUGGUAAAAGUUCCUUGGAAUAGGACAUCAUAGAGGGUGAGAAUCCCGUAUUUGGUUAUUCAUUCUAGCUUUGUGAUACACUUUCAAAGAGUCGGAUUGUUUGGGAAUGCAGUCCAAAAUGGGUGGUAAAUUUCAUCUAAAGCUAAAUAUUGGCGAGAGACCGAUAGCGAACAAGUACCGUGAGGGAAAGAUGAAAAGAACUUUGAAAAGAGAGUUAAACAGUACGUGAAAUUGUCCAAAAGGGAAGCGUUUGACACCAGUGUUGUUUUUCCGAAAAUCAAUUACGAAUGGCUUGAUUUUGUGUUGUAUUGACCUUAUCAGCUUUCUGCACUUUUUUCGAGUCUUUCUUAAUGCACUUUUCGGUUAACAAGUCAACAUCAAUUUCUUUUGUUGUAAAAGAGUAUUCGGAAGGUGGCUUUCUUUUCGGAGAAAGUGUUCAUAGCCCUAUACUUCUACAAUCGGAGAGAUUGAGGUCUGCAGCGUAGAUCCUUCGGGGUUAGAUACACUUUGUGCUAAGUUGUAGCUUUUCAUAGACAACUUGUUGACUAUGUUUAGUCAUGCGGCCUUACUCGCUUAUGCUAUUUUACCUACGCUUAGGAUGUUGAACUCUAUCACACACAG